GAGCGGUAGCACAGAGAGCUUGCUCUCGGGUGACGAGCGGCGGACGGGUGAGUAAUGUCUGGGAAACUGCCUGAUGGAGGGGGAUAACUACUGGAAACGGUAGCUAAUACCGCAUAACGUCGCAAGACCAAAGAGGGGGACCUUCGGGCCUCUUGCCAUCAGAUGUGCCCAGAUGGGAUUAGCUAGUAGGUGGGGUAACGGCUCACCUAGGCGACGAUCCCUAGCUGGUCUGAGAGGAUGACCAGCCACACUGGAACUGAGACACGGUCCAGACUCCUACGGGAGGCAGCAGUGGGGAAUAUUGCACAAUGGGCGCAAGCCUGAUGCAGCCAUGCCGCGUGUAUGAAGAAGGCCUUCGGGUUGUAAAGUACUUUCAGCGGGGAGGAAGGCGAUAAGGUUAAUAACCUUGUCGAUUGACGUUACCCGCAGAAGAAGCACCGGCUAACUCCGUGCCAGCAGCCGCGGUAAUACGGAGGGUGCAAGCGUUAAUCGGAAUUACUGGGCGUAAAGCGCACGCAGGCGGUCUGUCAAGUCGGAUGUGAAAUCCCCGGGCUCAACCUGGGAACUGCAUUCGAAACUGGCAGGCUAGAGUCUUGUAAAGGGGGGUAGAAUUCCAGGUGUAGCGGUGAAAUGCGUAAAGAUCUGGAGGAAUACCGGUGGCGAAGGCGGCCCCCUGGACAAAGACUGACCCUCAGGUGCGAAAGCGUGGGGAGCAACCAGGAUUAAUACCCCUGGUAGUCCCCCCCGUAAACGAUGUCGACUUGGAGGUUUGCCCUUGAGGGUGGCUUCCGAGCUAACCGUUAAUCGACCCCUGGGGAGUCGGCCGCAAGGUUAAACUCAAUGAAUUGACGGGGGCCCCACAAGCGGUGGAGCAGUGGUUUAAUUCGAUGCAACGCGAAGAACCUUACCUACUCUUGACAUCCAGAGAACUUAGCAGAGAUGCUUUGGUGCCUUCGGGAACUCUGAGACAGGUGCUGCAUGGCUGUCGUCAGCUCGUGUUGUGAAAUGUUGGGUUAAGUCCCGCAACGAGCGCAACCCUUAUCCUUUGUUGCCAGCGGUUAGGCCGGGAACUCAAAGGAGACUGCCAGUGAUAAACUGGAGGAAGGUGGGGAUGACGUCAAGUCAUCAUGGCCCUUACGAGUAGGGCUACACACGUGCUACAAUGGCGCAUACAAAGAGAAGCGACCUCGCGAGAGCAAGCGGACCUCAUAAAGUGCGUCGUAGUCCGGAUUGGAGUCUGCAACUCGACUCCAUGAAGUCGGAAUCGCUAGUAAUCGUAGAUCAGAAUGCUACGGUGAAUACGUUCCCGGGCCUUGUACACACCGCCCGUCACACCAUGGGAGUGGGUUGCAAAAGAAGUAGGUAGCUUAACCUUCGGGAGGGCGCUAC
rnacentral:rRNA from 1 species